rnacentral:rRNA from 1 species
CGACGCAGCGACGCCGCGUGUGGGAUGACGGCCUUCGGGUGUAAACCACUGUCGGGAGGGACGAAUGCGCCGCAAGGCGAGUGACCGGUACCUCCAAAGGAAGCACCGGCUAACUCCGUGCCAGCAGCCGCGGUAAUACGGAGGGUGCGAGCGUUGUCCGGAAUCACUGGGCGUAAAGGGCGCGUAGGCGGCCUGAUAAGUAGGGGGUCGAAAUCCUGCGGCUUAACCGCAGGGCUGCCUUCUAAACUGUCAGGCUCGAGCACAGUAGAGGCAGGUGGAAUUCCCGGUGUAGCGGUGGAAUGACGUAGAGAUCGGGAAGAACAUCAGUGGCGAAGGCGGCCUGCUGGGCUGUUGCUGACGCUGAGGCGCGACAGCGUGGGGAGCAAACAGGAUUAGAUACCCUGGUAGUCCGCGCCGUAAACGAUGGGCACUAGGCGUCGGGGGGAGCGACCCUCCCGGUGCCGUCGCUAACGCAGUAAGUGCCCGCCUGGGGAGUACGGCCGCAAGGCUG